CCGAAGAUAGAAUCAGUAACCAGCCAUGUAGAGGUAAAGAACUGUUCAACUGGUUCGCAUCAAUAGAAAUGUUUUCCUCCUAUCUAGCUGCGUCCGAGGCAUUUCGAGGACCAGCACUAACUGAGCGCCCCUGAGAUCCCCUGACACGCCUUCAGAUGUUUGAAGAUGCUCCCACAUGCCUUCAGGCCUUCUUUGCUCAAUCCCUAGUUCCUUCCACUGUCCUUCCCUUACCCCAUUCACUCUUCUCUGGAAAAACUGCACUUGGUUGUGAUCGAUGUCAUCGGAUCAUGUGGCACAGAAAAAUCACACAAAGCAUUGACUGAAGGAGAAUGCAGUAGAAUCACGUCGGCUGUCCUUCCUACAGACUGAAAUUGCUUCAUGGGGCCAAAACAAAGGCCCUGACUUCAUCUCCUGUGAUGUGCCUCUUCUUCUCUCCAUUUCCUUCAAAUGUACUUGUACCCGAACAAUAAUUUGCUCACUGAUGACAAGUGAGAACAACAUAAAUGGUGAUGGUGAUGAAAAUGGUGAUGAUGGUGAAGUGCAAAGCAUCCAUGAGUGACCAAUAUCUUACAAGAUUCCCAUAAGCAUUCAUGAGUUAGGUCAUGAAUAUUCAGGUUUCGUUUGUUUACUUGACCUGAACCUUAUACAUAAAACAAGAGAUAUGUGAUUUCUCAGGGACCUGUUAUGCUAAUGCCCAGAGUACUUCCUGGUUUAAAUCAGGUUGGGCAAGCUGAGGACAUUAACGUGACUUCCUCGAAAUGCCUGACUUGUCUCCACAGGGUAGCUUACGUACCGGGGAAUUUCGAUUCGUACGAAAGACACAGCAGAAAGAUAUACUCAACAUCCUGCUCCCGUGUGGUGCUCUUGAUUGUUAAACUACACCCUUAGGCUUAAUGAACAAAUCUACUAAACAGCCCCACUGACAACCUCAACUGCCUCUGUGACUGUCCCAUGCAUCUGCACCAUUUCCUUACCAAAGCUCCAGGAAGAAGGAGGGAGAGUGAGGUGAAUUUUAUCAUGAUCAUUGGAGUGCGCCACACACAGGACGCAGGUCCCUGCAAGAAGGUGGGAUGUAUCUUCUCCCGAAUGCUCUCAGCUUUGUCUGGGACCUUUGCGUGGGAACCACACACCUGCAGAUUUGAGACCUGUUAUUUCAGUAGGAAGAGAAAAAAAGCAGGAAGAGGAGAGCCACGCGUGACUUCUCUUUUAACUCAAAUGUGCUAGAAGUAGCUCCCUUAAUUCUGUCGACAUGUUUGGCCCUACCAAC